rnacentral:lncRNA from 1 species
UGGAGUAGGUCAUUUGACCGAACCACUCUAAAAAUCGGCGUAAUCUCUGGUUUACUUUUUAUUAUUGUCAUUUACAUUACUGCAAAUCUUCUUACUGCUUUAGUUUGUAUUACUCUUGCUGCGCAACUUUAAGAAUACGCCUUCAAGUUAAAUUUCUCAAGUUUCGUUCUUAACGUACGAAAGAUUUUGAUUAAAAUCGAAGUUUUAAUCCGCUGCACUAAUUCACCCCC